rnacentral:lncRNA from 13 species
UUGUUCCAGUGGGCUCCCCUUCCUUCUGGGGCUCCUGUGGCUUCCACAAGGAGCCAGGCAGGGCCCUGCCCCUGGCUACAUCUGCCAAAUGCAAAUAGUUGCUAAAGUUAUUUAGUGUGUCCUCACGGCUCCUUUUUGUCACUGGUGUUCCCUAGGCAACCGCUGCUGGAAUGCAGUCAACUUCUAGAGGUUCUUCACAGGCAGGAAUAGAAAAUGGCUCUUGCUCACUUCUUGUUUGGGGGCCUCGCUGAGUGGGAUACUUACAUGGGAAACUAGAGUUCUUGUUUUCUUAUUUGAAAAGAGGACAGCAAGAGAAAUCUGACCAAACUGCCCCACAGAAGUGGAGGAGGUGGGAACUCAGGGUCCCUUUGCUACUUUCUCUGGAUGGAGCUUCAAGAUAAGGAAGUGGAGUCCAGAUAGGCUAAACCAGGGGUCCUCAACCCCCACACCGUGGACCAGUGUGGAACCAGACCAUCAAGCACGAGGUGAGUGGAGGGUGGGCGAGCAAAGCUUCAUCUGUAUUUAUAGCCACUCCCCAUUGCUCGCAUUACCGCCUGAGCUCUGUCUCCUGUCAGACCAGUGGCAGCAUUAGAUUCUUACAGGAGCACAAACCCUAUUGUGAACUGUGCAUGUGAGGGAUCUAGGUUCCAUGCUUCUUACGAGAAUCUAAUGCCUGAUGAUCUAUCACUGUCUCUCAUCACCCCCAGCUGGGACCAUCUAGUUGCAGGAAAACAAGCUCAGGGCUCCCACUGAUUCUAC